UUUUGGGGAGGGAUUUGGAGAUUUUGGGGACUUUUGGGGUGGUUUGGAGGGGGUGGAAAAAAGAAAAUUGGGGAAUUUGGGGAUUUUUGGGGUCCCUGGGGUGUUUUGGGGAGCCUGGAAGGGGUGGGGGGAGGGAAAACUGGGGAGGAUUUGAGGAUUUUGGGGGGGAUUUGGGGAGUUUUGGGGUUCUCUGAUGCAUUUGGGGUCUGGGGUCUCCCCUCCAGGGCACAGCCCCCCCCCGAGCAGCAGCUCCAGUUCCUUCAGGACCUUUUGGACGCCGUCCCCCCCCUUGAGACCCCCCCCAAAACCAGGCCCCCCCAAACCACCCAGUUCCUGCUGAAGCUGCUGGAGACCCCCGAGGGGGGGGCGGCCCUGAGACCCCCGCCCCCCCCCCCAGUUCCUGUGGAGCUCUCCGAGACCCCCCCCAGACCCAGGAGACCCCUCCCCGAAUUGGAGGCGGAAUUGGGGGGGGUCCGGCGGGGCCUGGAGGAGCUGCAGGCCCAGCUGUCAAAUUUAGGGGGGUCCCCGGCCCCCUCCCCCCCAAAUUUGGGGGUCCUGGUGGGGACUCUGACCUCGUUGGCUGCAGAUUUUGGGGCCUCUGAGCUCCGGGGCCCCCUGGCACCCCCCCAGGACCCCCCAAAUUUGGGGGGAAGGGGGCCGGGUCCCCCCUGUGGGGAGGGGGCUGCGGAAUCUCAGCCAGGUGAGGGGGGGAAUUUUGGGAGGAAUUUGGGGAGGGGGUUUGGAUUUGGGGGAUUUUUGGAGGGAAUUUG
rnacentral:lncRNA from 1 species